UACAGAGGUCUCAAGCGUGUUCGGAUUCAUUGGGCGUAAAGGGUGCGUAGGUGGCGGGGUAAGUCAGGUGUGAAAUUUCGGAGCUUAACUUCGAAACUGCAUUUGAUACUGCCUUGCUUGAGGACUGGGAGAGGAGACUGGAAUUCUCCGGUAUAGCAGUGAAAUGCGUGGAUAUCGAGAAGAACACUUAGGGCGAAGGCAAGACUCUGGACAAAGUGCUGACGCUCAUGCACGAAGGCUAGGGUAGCGAACGGG
rnacentral:rRNA from 1 species